GCGGGGCGGGACGGGGGGGGCUGGAGGAGGCGGGAAUCUGUGGUGUCCUCCCGGCAGUGGGAGCUGUGCUUUAGAGCUCUCCCUUGGAGCACUAGAGUACCAACCCGGAGCCACGAAGGGAGAGGCCUGGCAGAGCCAGGGGGAUUGAGUAGAGGGAGCGUCUGAGAGAUGUGGAAAGAACUGACAGGACGCGGCGACGGACGGACUAACACAGCCUUGUUGAGCACCCACUACGUGCUUGCCCAUGUCCGAGUCUGCCGUAGGGCACCUUACAUUCUCACUGGAAGCAGUAAACAGAAGCUGCACGAGUAGCCCAGAGAGCUCCCUGCACCCUUGUCAACCGCCCUCAGUGGCAGCACCUCGGGUGACUCACCUCAGGUGACGACAGUAGAACAGGGCUGACUGCAGUGCACUGAGUGUUCUGAGCCAUGUUCUCACCUGUAACCACUACCAGAUCCAGAUCCAAGGCCUGUCUUCCUGCCACACCUCAGUCAUGCCCUACCGUCCCCAACCCCUGGCAGUCCCUAGUCUGUCCCCAUCACUGUCAUUUUAUCAUUGGAGAAUGUUACAUAAAUAAAAUCAUGCAGCAUGUAAAUCUUUGGAAA